rnacentral:rRNA from 1 species
CGGAUUUAUUUAUGUUUGUUUGUUGUUAUUUAAUUUCUUUUAUCAAAAUAUUGUUUUGUUGUUGUAUUUUAUUGAUUUGAUUUUUUUUGUUAUAGUUUAUUUGUACUGUGAGGGGUAAAAGGUUUUUGUUUUUGUAAGUUGGUUUUUUUUGCUGUACCUUGUGUUUCAGGGUUUACUAAUUUUUAUUAUUUAUUUUUAUUUCCCGAUUUCAUUGGAGUUAGUUAAUUAUUUUAGUUACUGUUUCAUCAGUAUUAUUGAUAAUUGUCUGGUAGUGAAAUGUUAGUCGUCUUUGGUGGUAUCUGGUUUCUCAAGAAAUGAAUUUAAUUCACACUUCUAAUUUAAUUUUCCUUUUAACUUGUCUUGGUUUAAUUUGUUGUGAAGGUGUUGGGGGAUAAGCUCCGAUUCUUGAUUUAUAACGUUUUUUUGUUUCAAUUCUUAUGGGCUUUGUGUUGGCCAUUAAUUUGAUUAUGUUAAAAUUUUAAUUCUAUUGUUUUUGAUUUAUUUGUUGUUUAAUUGUUUUAUUGGGACGUUUAGUUUAGCUCUUUUUCUGUGGUGUUUUUGGUUGAAUUAGUAUAAGUUUUUUUUAUUAAGUGUGUUUUUUUUGUUAAUUUCUUUAGAGGAACUAGGCAAUAUUUUGGUGUUCGCCUGUUUAACAAAAACAUCUCUUCUUGUAAAUUUUUGAAGUAGGGCCUGCCCACUGAUUUUAUUGAAGGGCCGCGGUAUUUUGACCGUGCAAAGGUAGCAUAAUCAUUAGUUCUUUAAUUGUGAACUGGUAUGAAUGGUUUGACGAGACACUUUCUGUCUUUUUGUAAUUUUUUAUUGUUGAAUUUGGUGUUUGGGUAAAAAUACCUAAAUUCUGUUAUGGGACGAGAAGACCCUAUAGAGUUUUAUGUGGUGAACUUUCUUUCAGUUUGUUUGGUUUUGUUGGGUUUUAUUGCAUUUUGUUGGGGUGAUGGGAGAGUAAGUUUAACCUCUCCUUACUUUGAUUCACUUAUUUGUGUUUUUGUGAUCCUUUAUUAAUGAUUGUAAGAUUAAAUUACCUUAGGGAUAACAGCGUAAUCUUUUUUGAGAGUUCUUAUUGACAAAAGGGUUUGCGACCUCGAUGUUGGAUUAAGAUAAAUUUUUGGUGUAGAGGCUUUAUUGGAGUUAUUAGGUCUGUUCGACCUUUAAAAUCUUACAUGAUCUGAGUUCAGACCGGCGUGAGCCAGGUUGGUUUCUAUCUAUAAUCUUUUAAAGUUUCUUAGUACGAGAGGACCAGGUAUUUGGAAUAAUUUUUAUUAUGUUGAUUUUCAUUAAUUU